rnacentral:lncRNA from 1 species
CUAUGCCUUCAAAUUUGAGCCUUCAUGCGAUUUCCCAUAAAUACGAAAUCCUUAUUUGGAUUUGUAGUUUGGAUCGUAGUGAAUCCCUGCAACAUAGUGGAUACAUGAGUAGUUGCACCAGAAUCAAGCCACCAAAUAUUAUUAGGAACUUCUACUAAAUUUGGUUCGAAACAUACAAAAGCACUAAAUGUACCUUUCUUUUCAAACCAAGCUUUACGUUUCAGGCAAUCUUUCUGAUAAUGUCCUUCCUUUUUACAGAAACGACACACAUCAGCCUUGAGUUCCUUAUGAGCAUCCUGUGGAACUUUAGCAUGUGCUUUCUUUUUCUUAAACUUGUUGGCCUUCACUUUAAGUCCU